rnacentral:rRNA from 1 species
AGGAAUGUAUAGCAUAGCUAGUUGCAUCAUUGUAAUGAGGAUGCAAUAUUGACUAUGUUGAAUAAAAUUCUAGGUAGAAUUAUGAUAAUGACAUUGUCUGCCUAUGUGUCUUGACCAAUUACGUGCCAGCAGUCGCGGUAAUACGUAGAAGACUAGUGUUAUUCAUGUUUAAUCGGUUUAAAGGGUACCUAGACGGCAGAUCAAGCUUUCCGAGAAGAAAAAAAAGAGAAAAAAGGACUAAUUUGCUAGAGUUACUUACGAGGGGGUUUUAAAGUACUGCUGGUGUAGAGAUGAAAUUCUGUCAUACCUCUUUUCGAAAGAAAAAUGAUGGCACAGGUAUAGGCGAAGGCAUCCCCUUAUGUGAUAACUGACGUUGAGGGACGAAGGCUUUAUAUAACGAACAGGAUUAGAUACCCCAGUAGUGGAAGCAGUAAAUGAUGAAUGUCAUAGAUUAGCUAGAUAGGUUCAUUCUAUAAAUGAAAGUGUAAGCAUUCCACCUCAUGAGUAAUUUGGCAACAUUGGAAUUGAAAUCAUUAGACCGUUUCUGAAACCAGUAGUGAAGUAUGUUGUUUAAUUUGAUGAUCCGCAAAAAACCUUACCACAAUUUGAAUAUUUAUAUUUUUUUUUUAUUGUUUUCUUAUUAAUUUUCUUCUCUUUAAUUUAAGAACAAAGUAUUAAAGAAAAGAGGAAAAUAUUUAAUGCAGAGGCAAUAAGAUAUAUUUACAAGCGUUGCACGGCUGUCUUCAGUUAAUGUCGUGAGACUUUGGUUAGAUCCAUUAAAUUAACGUAAACCCUUACUUUAUUUUUAGAUAGAGUUGUUCCCCACUAUAUUGGAUAAGAU